rnacentral:lncRNA from 1 species
GUUUCUCAUAUGUUCUCUGUACUUACUCUUAUUAAGGCUCUAUAUUAUGAUGGAAGGUACAAGGAGAUGAGUUGUGUUAUUCAAAAUGCAUUGAGGAGCUGUAGUCUCAAUGAUUCUAAGCUACUUAAAGUAAUUACUGAAAUUGACAUCCGGAAAGAUAAAAUGGGUGCAUUGAUGGCCUGUUACUUGAUGGUGGAAAGUGUUCACAUGCUUCAGCAAGUACCUAAUAUCUUUGGUUUUGCUUGUUGAAGUCUGUUACCAUAAACCUUGAGCUGACUCUUCCAGCUUGCAUCUAGCAUGCUCUGGCUUGGAGACUCUGGUCCACUGUCAAGUUGUCCCUUAUUGAAUGUUGUGAUGGAGGAAAUCACCUCUCAUGUAGUUAAAUACUGUCCUCACUUUAGCUUUAACUACAUGAGAUUGAGGGUGAUUUACCCGUCACAACAUUAAUCAUGGACAGCGGGAUUAAGUUGCUCCUUGGGUGAUAGCCAUAUUUCCAGCUAGGGUUUUUAUUGUGUUUUGGAAUUAUGUAUGUGUUGUUAGAUAUAACUAUUGUGGGAUUCUCUUCUGUGGAGAAUUUGAGUAAUGAUCCAUUGUCAUUUAGUUCUUUCAUGUAUGUUGGUAUACUUUUGUGUACUCCUAUCAUUUGUGGACUAUAUCAGUCUUUUUCAGUUACAUUCUGCAAAUGAUGUCGCCAAUUCCAUUAUUCUGUCGUUUGUGUUUGUGUCAUUGGUAAGUCUUCCCCAUCUGUUAACAAGUAGAGAUCAUUUUAUGAGUAAUUUUCAGUGAAAUUAUAAUUAGAAUAAAUUUCUUUCCCAGUCAAAGAAUUACAGAUGGACUUAUCUAACGUUGUUAGGAUGACCACCUGGAGUAAGACUAGAGUAUCGCUUUAUUUAAGAUCCCAGUUUUGAGAGUACCUGAGCUAAGGAUCUUAGCAAAAGUUAAGAUAUCAUGUCAUGUAGGAUAACUCCAAUGGUGAGAUCUAACAAGAUCCGAAUCUUAUUUUAAAAUUCUCAAAUAAGGACUUCAUUGAAAAUGCUCUAAUAUCUUUGGCUUUGCUUGUUGAACUCUGUUACCAUAAACCUUGAGCUGACUCUUC